GAUGAACGCUAGCUACAGGCUUAACACAUGCAAGUCGAGGGGAAACGACAUCGAAAGCUUGCUUUUGAUGGGCGUCGACCGGCGCACGGGUGAGUAACGCGUAUCCAACCUGCCCAUCACUUGGGGAUAACCUUGCGAAAGUAAGACUAAUACCCAAUGAUAUCUCUAGAAGACAUCUGAAAGAGAUUAAAGAUUUAUCGGUGAUGGAUGGGGAUGCGUCUGAUUAGCUUGUUGGCGGGGUAACGGCCCACCAAGGCAACGAUCAGUAGGGGUUCUGAGAGGAAGGUCCCCCACAUUGGAACUGAGACACGGUCCAAACUCCUACGGGAGGCAGCAGUGAGGAAGAUUGGGCAAUGGGCGAGAGCCUGAACCAGCCAAGUAGCGUGCAGGAAGACGGCCCUAUGGGUUGUAAACUGCUUUUAUAAGGGAAUAAAGUGAGAGUCGUGACUCUUUUUGUAUGUACCUUAUGAAUAAGGACCGGCUAAUUCCGUG
rnacentral:rRNA from 1 species